GGCAGUAGCUCAGUGGUAGAGCAUUUGCUUUGUGUGCAGAAGGUCCCAGAUUUAACCCCUGGGAUCUCCA